AACAGAGGAUGCAAGCGUUAUCCGGAAUUAUUGGGCGUAAAGUGUCUGUAGGUGGCUUUUCAAGUCCGUCGUCAAAUCCCAGGGCUCAACCCUGGACAGGCGGUGGAAACUAUCAAGCUAGAGUACGGUAGAGGCAGAGGGAAUUUCCGGUGGAGCGGUGAAAUGCGUUGAGAUCGGGAGGAACACCAAGGGCGAAAGCACUCUGCUGGGCCGUUACUGACACUCAGAGACGAAAGCUAGGGGAGCAAAUGGG
rnacentral:rRNA from 1 species